rnacentral:rRNA from 1 species
GACGAACGCUGGCGGCGUGCUUAACACAUGCAAGUCGAACGGAAAGGCCCUGCUUUUGUGGGGUGCUCGAUUGGCGAACGGGUGAGUAACACGUGAGUAACCUGCCCUUGACUUUGGGAUAACUUCAGGAAACUGGGGCUAAUACCGGAUAGGAGCUCCUGCUGCAUGGUGGGGGUUGGAAAGUUUCGGCGGUUGUGGAUGGACUCGCGGCUUAUCAGCUUGUUGGUGGGGUAGUGGCUUACCAAGGCUGUGACGGAUAGCCGGCCUGAGAGGGUGACCGGCCACAAUGCGACUGAGAGACGGCGCAGACUCCAACGGGAGGCAGCAGUGGGGAAUAUUGCACAGUGGGCGGAAGCGUGAUGCAGCAACGCCGCGUGCGGAAUGACGGCUUUCGAGUUGUGAACCGCUUUCGCCUGUGACGAAGCGUGAGUGACGGUAAUGGGUAAAGAAGCACCGGCUAACUACGUG